rnacentral:rRNA from 1 species
AGUAUACAUAGUGAAUCAUCGAAUCUUUGAACGCACAUGGCACUGUCUGGAACCCCGGACAGUAUAUCUGUUUGAGUAUCGUUUCAAUCUCACCCUACAGCAAGUGUGUAAACCUUGCUUUUAGAGUGGAACUGGGGUCUUGUGGGUCUACCGCAUACCUUUAAAUGUAUUCCUACGUUCUAUUAGAGCAGUCCGAAAGGAACCUCUUGAUAGAUGCGUACCAAAAACGAAUAGGCUUCGAGCCUUGAAUUACUAUCUCAAAUCAGAUAAGAUUACCCGCUGAACUUAAGCAUAUCAAUAAGCGGAGG